rnacentral:rRNA from 1 species
AGCGAACGCUGGCGGCAGGCUUAACACAUGCAAGUCGAGCGGGCAUAGCAAUAUGUCAGCGGCAGACGGGUGAGUAACGCGUGGGAAAGUACCUUUUGGUUCGGAACAACACAGGGAGACGUGUGCUAAUACCGGAUAAGCACUUACGGGGAGAGAUUUAUCGCCGAAAGAUCGGCCCGCGUCUGAUUAGCUCGUUGGUGAGGUAAUGGCUCACCAAGGCGCCGAUCACUAGCUGGUCUGAGAGGAUGAUCAGCCAAAUGAGGACUUAGACACGGCCCAAACUCCUACGGGAGGCAGCAGUGGGGAAUCUUGAACAAUAGGCGCAAGCCUAAUCCAGCCAUGCCGCGUGAGUGAUGAAGGCCCUAGGGUUGUAAAGCUCUUUUGUGAGGAAAGAUAAUGACGGUACCGAAAGAAUAAGCACCGGCUAACUACGUGCCAGCCGCCGCCGUAA